rnacentral:lncRNA from 1 species
GCCCACUACCUCGCUAAUUGGAACCUAAUGGAUCGUACAUCGAGUAAGGAUGUAUGUGAGGAAAUUAAAUGAAAUGGAUAAGCAAUUAAAUGGUUUAAUUGAUGAAUGGUCAAGAUUAAUUAAUUAGUUAAUUAAUUUUACGAAAGGUUCGUAUUGGGCUUUUAAGUUUGUUUUGGGCUUCGGGUCUCAAAAGCGUUUUGGUCCACAAGGCCCAUUAUUUUUAAGUUGUAUGACAACUAAAACAAAAUGGGCAAUUAGCCCAAUAACAUUAAUAUGGCCGGCCAUUAGGGUGAAUGGGCAAGCUUGGAUUAAUUACAAGUUUGCCACUCACUUGAAAUGAAGUAUAAAAGGAACUUUAUAGCUUUAUUUCUCAUUAGGGUUUUUUCUUAAAGAAAUUGGGUGAAACACUUUCUCUCAUUUUUCUCUAAAGAGGCCGGCCACUUAGGGGAGGGACAUCUAGCAAUCUCUUCUUCCCUAAGUCAUCCAUAUUAUCUUCACAAGAUACAUCCUUGGUGUGGAGAGUUAGAGACAUCAAAUUUUUGGUGUUUUGGAGAACAAAUCCUAAAAUCCUCAAAGAAGCAAAGGAGCACUAAAAGGAGGAAAAUCACAAGGAAUAUCCAAUGAGCUUGGAGGUGACUUGAAGGCCCUCCACUUGGGUGAAUCCCUUGUGUAAACAAGGAUGAGCUUCAAGGGUAAAGAAACUCUAAAUCUUUACUUCUCUUUAAUGUUGUUAAAGAGUUUAUUGGUUCACCAUAUACUAGGCUUUGAAAGUCAUGGGUUUUAUGAAUUGUUUUUUAAUGCAUGCCUACUUUAAAGUGUUAAUAGUUUGCAUAUGUAUUCAAAUGUUCUUACUUGUUCUUAGCUAGGACAAAAUUUUUCCUUCACUUUUAUGGAUAACAUAUAGAUAUCCAUUGUCUAGGCCUACUACUUAGCCAUUUAUGAAAUGACUACAGAAGAGGUAUCAUCACUGAUGACCAAGCUGAUUAGCUCUAGUGCAAGUGGGAGAUUGUUGGAAAUGUGCCCUAAAACCAAUCAUAUGAUGAUACUUUACGGACAUUUC